rnacentral:tRNA from 1 species
AGUUGCUUAGCUUAUUAUAAAGCAAUUACUUUGAAAGUAAUAGAAAGGUUUAAAACUUAGUAUCUU